CUCUCUCUCUCUCUCUCUCUCUCUCUCUCUCUCUCUCUCGUGAACCUCUCUCUCCACUGAGUCUAGCCAUCUACAAUCGUUUAAUGAUGGCCAGCAAGAUCGGACUCUGUGACUCGACUCGUUCUCCAACUCAUUCCAGGGGAUCUCGAGCCUCUCGUCAUCGUCGUCGAAGACCUCGACGUGCAGCAAUAGAUUCAUUUCAUCCGGUCGUCAUCCAGGCUCCACCAGUUUGGGCUGAACGACAAGGCUCGCCGAUGAAGGACGGCGGGAACGAAGCCUAUUCUGGCUUUUGAGAUCUGAGCUUUUUGGGUUUGAUUUCGAUUCUUUUUCUGCUCCUGCAGGUGGCGUUACCAAUAUGGACGACGGGAACCAUAGAUCUGAAUCAUCCAAUACCCAAAUCGUUGAUCUGAAUCGUCCCACUACUGAUUCUUCCAUGUCUUCUGAGAUAGGGAUUUCGUACGCUCAUAGUCGGCGCAGAAGAGAGGGAGAUAGGGAUGGAGAGACAUUGGUACAAAGUGUUCGCAUAAUCGGUCGUUUAAGAACGAUGAGAGAAACAAGUUACUUCAAUUGGCUUUUGUGGAGCAGAAAAAGGCGGAUGAGAGUGUCUUGAGGCUGGUUGAAGAGCAAAAGAGGGAAAAAGAGGAUGCCUUGCAUAAAAUACUUCAGUUAGAAAAGAAAUUGAAUGACAAACAGAAGGUAGAAAUGGAAAUUGAAGAAUUAAAUGGUAAAUUAGAGGUGAUGAAGCAUCUUGGGGAUGAAGAUGAUGAAGCUGUUAAAAAGAAGAUUGAAGACAUGAAUCAAGAAUUGGGGGAAAAAGUUAAAGAGCUUGAGCAUUUGGAAAUACUGAAUCAAACUCUGAUCACCAAAGAGCGCCAGAGCAAUGAUGAGUUACAAGAAGCUCGUAAAGUGUUAAUAGCAAGCAUUGAGCGCUAUAGGAUUUGUCUAUGCAAAAAUAGCAGGCUCGCAAGAUUUGAACUGCUGAAAAAGUAACUGCACCGGAAGAACUG